rnacentral:rRNA from 1 species
GUGGGGAAUCUUGCGCAAUGGGCGAAAGCCUGACGCAGCCAUGCCGCGUGAAUGAUGAAGGUCUUAGGAUUGUAAAAUUCUUUCACCGGGGACGAUAAUGACGGUACCCGGAGAAGAAGCUCCGGCUAACUUCGUGCCAGCAGCCGCGGUAAUACGAAGGGGGCUAGCGUUGCUCGGAAUUACUGGGCGUAAAGGGCGCGUAGGCGGACAGCUUAGUCAGAGGUGAAAGCCCAGGGCUCAACCUUGGAAUUGCCUUUGAUACUGGCUGUCUUGAGUUUGGGAGAGGUGAGUGGAACUCCGAGUGUAGAGGUGAAAUUCGUAGAUAUUCGGAAGAACACCUGUGGCGAAGGCGACUCACUGGCCCAAUACUGACGCUGAGGCGCGAAAGCGUGGGGAGCAAACAGGAUUAGAUACCCUAGUAGUCC